AGAGUUUGAUCAUGGCUCAGAUUGAACGCUGGCGGAAUGCUUUACACAUGCAAGUCGAACGGCAGCACGGGGGCAACCCUGGUGGCGAGUGGCGAACGGGUGAGUAAUACAUCGGAACGUGCCCAGUCGUGGGGGAUAACGUAGCGAAAGCUACGCUAAUACCGCAUAUGAACUCAGGUUGAAAGCGGGGGAUCGCAAGACCUCGCGCGAUUGGAGCGGCCGAUGGCAGAUUAGGUAGUUGGUGGGGUAAAGGCCUACCAAGCCGACGAUCUGUAGCUGGUCUGAGAGGACGACCAGCCACACUGGGACUGAGACACGGCCCAGACUCCUACGGGAGGCAGCAGUGGGGAAUUUUGGACAAUGGGCGCAAGCCUGAUCCAGCCAUUCCGCGUGCAGGAUGAAGGCCCUCGGGUUGUAAACUGCUUUUGUACGGAACGAAAAGGCUCUGGUUAAUACCCGGGGCUGAUGACGGUACCGUAAGAAUAAGCACC
rnacentral:rRNA from 1 species